GAAAAAAAGAGCAAAAAAGUUUGCCGUCCGCAGGGUUCGAACCUGCGCCCUCCUGAGAGGACUGCGACCUGAACGCAGCGCCUUAGACCACUCGGCCAGAACGGCGAUGUUUCCCCACAGC
ensembl:ncRNA ZK678.11 ncRNA